UACGGGGGGGGCAAGCGUUGUUCGGAAUUACUGGGCGUAAAGGGCUCGUAGGUGGCCAACUAAGUCAGACGUGAAAUCCCUCGGCUUAACCGGGGAACUGCGUCUGAUACUGGAUGGCUUGAGGUUGGGAGAGGGAUGCGGAAUUCCAGGUGUAGCGGUGAAAUGCGUAGAUAUCUGGAGGAAUACCGGUGGCGAAGGCGGCAUCCUGGACCGACAUUGACGCUGAGGAGCGAAAGCUAGGGGAGCAAACGGG
rnacentral:rRNA from 1 species